rnacentral:rRNA from 1 species
GACGAACGCUGGCGGCGUGCCUAAUACAUGCAAGUCGAACGCAGUGGGGACGGUGGAGUAACACGUGGGUAACCUCCCAUCAGAGGGGAUAACACUUGGAAACAGGUGCUCAACCGAUCUUGAUGGAUGGACCCGCGGUGCAUUAGCUAGUUGGUGCGGUAACGGCUCACCAAGGACACGAGGCAUAGCCGACCUGAGGUGGUGACCUGCCCCACUGGAACUGAGACCCGGUCCAGACUCCUCCGUUAGGCAGCAGUAGGGAAUCUUCGGCAAUGGACGAAAGCCUGACCGAGCACGGCCGCGUGAGUGAAGAAGUUUUUCGGAUCGUAAAACUCUGUUGUUAGAGAAGCGGUAUCUAACCAGAAAGCCACGGCUAACUACGUGCCAGCAGCCGCGGUAAUUC